UCCCUUGUGGCUUAGACAGUAAAGCGUCUGCCUACAAUGCGGGAGACCCAGGUUCGAUCUCUGGGUUGGGAA
rfam:TPA: Bos taurus chromosome 6, whole genome shotgun sequence.